rnacentral:tRNA from 1 species
GGGGUUGUGGCUCAGCGGUAGAGCGCUUGCCUAGCACGCAGGAGGCCCUGGGUUCGAUCCUCAGCACCACA